rnacentral:lncRNA from 1 species
AAUUAAAUCUUCCGUUAGUAAAGAAGGAGGUUGCCAUGAUUUCAUCUGACUUGUUCAAACUGUGGAUUUGUCCUUCUGCUGUUCGAAUCUUCCCCACACUCCAAAGCAAUGUCCAUUUCUGAUGUCAACAGUGGCACUACCCACAAACUUUGAACUCAGGUGCCUUUUGCUUCCAAGACAUAGAGCAACGGAUGUGGAGAUUUCCUUGAUGGCUGAGUGGUGUUAGUCACAAGAGCAAUGAUUGGGGUUACUGGUCAAGCUGUGCCAAUGUUGAGUGACAAAGGGGUCCUAUGUGUUCUGGAAUAAGUCAAUUGUUUUGUGUGUUUAUGGUAUGAGGGUCCUUUAAAGUGCAGGGACCAUGGCAGGAACCCCUCUUGCUUACGUGUAAAGCAGCAGUGGCUGGUGGAGAGGUGUUAAUAAAUUUCUGGAAAGCAAUGUGGUGACAUCUUUCAAAAUGAACGUAAAUCAUGCAUAAGGCAACCCCACUGCUAUGACUCUAGCCCACAGACACAAAAGCACACUCAGUCAGGCUGUCAACAGCUGCCAACAUAAGGUCAAUCUUUUUUUUUUUUUUUUUUUUCUGAGACGGAGUCUCGCUUUGUUGCCCAGGCUAGAGUGCAAUGGUGGGAUCUUGGCUCACCGCAACCUCUGC